UUGCAUUAGGCAAUGACCGGCAAAGGAAAGCCAACAUGUGUUAGCAAUGGAGAAAAAGAUUCACGGGAACAAUCCGGUAAAGAUAUAUCAAAAGGUACACUAGCGCAACGUGCCCGACGAGAAUGAGAACGUAUUUUUAAGCAAACCACUGAAAGGCGAUCGGAACAACACUCGCCGAUAAAUACAAGUAUUCAACCUCUCCGAGACGGGAAUAUUAGAGCCGAUGGGCGAGACCACCAUGCCGUACAUGUUCCCGAGG